CGAACGCUGGCGGCAUGCCUAACACAUGCAAGUCGAACGAGACCUUCGGGUCUAGUGGCGCACGGGUGCGUAACGCGUGGGAACCUGCCCUUAGGUUCGGAAUAACUCCCCGAAAGGGGUGCUAAUACCGGAUAAUGUCUUCGGACCAAAGAUUUAUCGCCUUUGGAUGGGCCCGCGUUGGAUUAGCUAGUUGGUAGGGUAAAAGCCUACCAAGGCGACGAUCCAUAGCUGGUCUGAGAGGAUGAUCAGCCACACUGGGACUGAGACACGGCCCAGACUCCUACGGGAGGCAGCAGUGGGGAAUAUUGGACAAUGGGCGAAAGCCUGAUCCAGCAAUGCCGCGUGAGUGACGAAGGCCUUAGGGUUGUAAAGCUCUUUUACCCGGGAUGAUAAUGACAGUACCGGGAGAAUAAGCUCCGGCUAACUCCGUG
rnacentral:rRNA from 1 species